rnacentral:tRNA from 1 species
GUCCUCGUAGCUCAGCAGGAUAGAGCACCAGAUUCCUAAUCUGGGGGUCGCAGGUUCGAAUCCUGCCGGGGACGCCA